UACGUAGGGGGCGAGCGUUGUCCGGAUUUAUUGGGCGUAAAGAGCGUGUAGGCGGCCAGGUAGGUCCGCUGUGAAAACUCGAGGCUCAACCUCGAGAUGUCGGCGGAAACCAUCUGGCUAGAGUCCGGAAGAGGAGAGUGGAAUUCCUGGUGUAGCGGUGAAAUGCGCAGGUAUCAGGAAGAACACCCGUGGCGAAGGCGGCUCUCUGGGACGGUACUGACGCUGAGACGCGAAAGCGUGGGGAGCGAACAGG
rnacentral:rRNA from 1 species